rnacentral:lncRNA from 1 species
CUUUAUCUAACCAAAGUAUUUUGGUGGUAAACACAAUUAUCACUUGCUCAGCAAGUGUAAAUUGGCGGUCUAUUUUUCUGUGAACAUUGCUUAAAACAUUACAAAUGAUGUCAUUACGUUAAUAAAGUCGGUUUCAUUCUUCACUCACAAGAAAGGAGAAGGAAAAGAUUUCUUUGUGUCCCAGGCCCUGUCAUUAAAACCUUUCCCACUGUGGAGAACAGGUUUAGUUGCCCAGGCACCUUCAGUGUCUCAGCUGAGCGACCAGGGCCUUCCACAUUGCAAAAAUUCCCAUGAUGGCCAACAGAGAGAGCUCGAGCACCACAGACCCGGAGAGGAGAGUUCCUCUGCCCAGGCAGUGAUGGCCAGCAGAAGGCGCACCAUCGGCUUUUCUGACCCAGGGCACCUGAGAGCAGGGAGGGCUUUGAUUGCUCCCAGAGUACUCAGGGCCUCUGCCGCUGCCUCAGUACAGAGAGCAGAGCUGCAUUUCCAGCAGGUUGUGCCGCCCGCCCCAGGGGAGAUCUUGGGAGCUUUGUAGCAACUUGGCAUCUCCUGAGUCGCCAGAGAGAAUUUGUCUUAUUGUACUGAGUGCUGAGGAGUGGGCGCUGGGUGGCUUCCCUGGGCAAGGUGGUUGCUGAGAUGCACAGGCCCUUGCAUUUUCUGGGCUGUUCCCGUGUUUCAUUCCUCCCCUUCCUGGACAGUAUUUGAACAAGACAUAUUUUACUAAAGGUCUUGUGGAUUGCGGAGUCCCACGACAUCACCUCAUCGAUGCAGUCGAUGGUUUCUUCCAGAUUCAGGCUUGUUUCCGGGAAGAAACCCUGACAGAAAUUCAGAAGAACAGGAGCUGCAUUCCAUUAGGACAUGAAUACAUGAAAUACUCGUCUUGGGAACUCCUAGAAGAAUGAGCUGGGACCCACUUUCGAGUCCUGCUAGAACCAGUGACCGAGAAAAUAAAAACGCCCUGGAAGACAAGUGUAAUGCAUUGAGGUCUGUGAAAGCCACAAAGGAAGCAAAAGUCAAACAGCUGAAGGAGAAAGCACAUAACCUAGAAGAAUUCUAUGAACGAAGAAAAGUGCCUACAAAAAAGGCAGUCUGGAUCCUGGGGACUUCCUCCGUUAACUGGAUGAUUCUGCAUGCCCCACCCCCAUGGACUAUUAGGCACAUCCACCUCCUGAACCUUGGUGGCCCUGGGGCCACCCGGAACCCCUCCACCUGCAACACUUGGCUAUUUUGUAUGCAAGAGUCCUGGUCCUUUCCCAGGAUUGCCUUGCAGGCUGUGCCCCGUGGACCACCCUUCACCACCAGUCAUGGGCUAUAGGCCACAUCCCCCUCCUCCACCUACUCUAUUUGUUAAGAUGACCUGAACUGGCUGAGUGGCUGGUAAAGUAUAUUCAUCUUCUUCAUGAUUGACUUUGUGGCAAUGAUGUAGAGACGGUUGUGAGUCUUGGCAAUCCAACUACAAACUGCCUGAGGACACUGUAGCAUAUCUCAAGUUUCUCAGGACAUACAUACAAUGGGCAGUGGCAUGUCCCUAUAAUACAGUGAGCUAUACGUUUCUCUUGUCAAAUGAAAGAGGAGUUUUUACACAAAAGCAGACGUAUCAGCAGUACUGGUGCAUAUGUUGGAGACACAAUGUGUUGGGUUCUGUAAUGAAUGAGGUGCACCCCUAACUUUUAGAGCAUCAGGUGUCCUGUGUGACAGAGGGACAUUCAUUAAACGAUGCAGACCUGGUGAUCACCAACAUGGAAACACCAGUGAGGAUCCAGGGCAAAACCAGGGGAGCCUUGAAUCAUAUAGGAAUAGAAGGGAAGUUGAGCACAGUAAGCAGAGUUUGAGGAGGUGCAGAGGGGAGGGUGUUGGGGUCAGUGAGAUGCAGUUGGAGGUCAUUCCGGCCACAGCCUGAGCAGGGAGUGUGAGGUCCAUACGGAACUGCUAUGUGGGAUCGCUCUCAGUGCAAAGUGCACGCAGGUAAUCACCUAAAAAGAUUCUCGUCUCCCUGCAUUUUCCUGAAGGUUCUGGAUAUUUGUGGGGGGAAAAGAGCCCUGGAUAUAUGAGGUAUUUAACUUGGUCUUAUGAAAAUACUGUAUGCCCAAGUUCAUAUCCCUCAAGAGACUAAAAGUGGGGACAGGGUCUAGAUCAGCUGAGUCAUCCUACAAUUCAGGGCUGGCCAGAUGACACCACUGCUGGACCCCUGUCAUCACCCUGACUACAGCUUUGCAUCUCCUCAAACUUCUCUCACAAUAUUAUGACAGCUGUGUUAUCUGUGAAAACAGGGGUAAUAUUUCUUUCUAAGAACAAGAGAAAAAGAAGACAUUCAGUGCAUAAAGCGUCUGCAAAAUCUCUGGGAACGGUCCCCUCACGCUUCUCACAGUUUCAAUUAAGAUAUCGCCACACAAUGAUCCUCCAAAAAAGAUGGUCACGGGAGUUCAUUAAACUAAGACUGUUAACAACUCAGCCCAGGGAGUGGGAAUCACUGUUUUAAAAAAUAAGACAAUGUCCCUCGUUUUUCUAUUAGAAUUCGGGCCCUGUCACACAAUGAAAGAGAAGAUAAUUAUGAGAAUGUGUACAUUCAGAGACCUAGAUCUGAAGACAAUCAUUUUCUAUUACACAUAGUCUCACAGAUGCAGCCGCACACUAAAGUGCUCAUCUGAGGCCACAGAUAAACUACAGAAGACAGAAUGCAUGUAGGAAAACAUAAGAUCACAGGGGAAUAAACCAAAAUCUCUUUGCCUUAUAGGACA